GAUGAAGAACGCAGCGAAAUGCGAUAAGUAAUGUGAAUUGCAGAAUUCAGUGAAUCAUCGAAUCUUUGAACGCACCUUGCACCCUUUGGCAUUCUGAAGGGUAUGCUCGUUUGAGUGUCAUUGUACUCUCACACUCCCGAUCUUUGCAUUGGGAGCAGUGGACUUGGGUUUGCUGCUUCACCGUCGCUUACCUCAAAUAGGUUAGUGCAACUCUUGGUUGGACAUAGUACGGCGUGAUAAGUGUUCUUCGCCGGUGCCUCGCAAAGAGGGUGGCCGAUCGGGAUGUUAUGCUCCAAACCGUCUUCGGACAAUCUCUGACGACUUGACCUCAAAUCGAGUAAGACUACCCGCUGAACUUAAGCAUAUCAAUAAGCGGAGGA
rnacentral:misc_RNA from 1 species